GUUUAAUUUCACAUACAGUUGGCUUCUGUUUGUGAUAACUUUUACAUUUUCGCAGAUAGCUUGUCUUUUUCCCUGUUGACUCAUAGUUGAGUGAAAAACACAAAUUUCUAAAACUAGAUGAAAAAAUAGUUUUUAUUGUAUCAAGAGUUAAGGACGGCAAAGUACAAAAUGCAAACAUUGGGCCCUCUACAGCGAUAUUACUGGUGCCUCCUAACCUGGGUGUGGCCAUCAGGGCUGGAUAUGAUUUUAGAGCGGAGAGGUCAGAGACCAGGGCUUCCCCGCCUAACACUGGCCUCCUAGGGUGGGAGUGGUAGGCAGGAGCCUAGGGCCAGACUGCUGGACUAAACCUGUGACCAUGGCUAAGGACAUGGGUCUCACUGGAGGUCAGCGCAGCAAGCUCUGAUGUCCGUAGAGGCGAGAACAGGACGCCUUCUUCCCCUGACCAGAAAUGCAGCUCCAGGUUGUCAGGGCUGGGAGGAUGGCCCAGGGUGGGAAGCGGGGAGAUAGGGCGGUAGGACCCGGCGGGAGCUUCCUUGGCCAGGAAAGGAACAGGGCGGGGGGAAAAGAGGGAGGGAGAGAGAAAAAGGGAAGGUGAUGGGGAGCGGGCGUCCGCACCCGCCGCGCCGCACGAGUUGCACUGCUCUGGCGGACCGGACCUGGACUCUAUAUAAAGAGCCCAUCUGCUCCGUAGCUCGCACGCUUCUCCCGGGCUGGUGCACGCCGCGUCCCUCCAGCUCCCCCAGACACCUGCCCCUUCCCAGUGUGCCGCGCCAGGUCCUCCAGACCCGCGCACCCAGUGGCAUGGCUCCGAG
rnacentral:lncRNA from 1 species